UUGGGUGACGAGUGGCGGACGGGUGAGUAAUGUCUGGGAAACUGCCUGAUGGAGGGGGAUAACUACUGGAAACGGUAGCUAAUACCGCAUAACGUCGCAAGACCAAAGAGGGGGACCUUCGGGCCUCUUGCCAUCAGAUGUGCCCAGAUGGGAUUAGCUAGUAGGUGGGGUAAUGGCUCACCUAGGCGACGAUCCCUAGCUGGUCUGAGAGGAUGACCAGCCACACUGGAACUGAGACACGGUCCAGACUCCUACGGGAGGCAGCAGUGGGGAAUAUUGCACAAUGGGCGCAAGCCUGAUGCAGCCAUGCCGCGUGUAUGAAGAAGGCCUUCGGGUUGUAAAGUACUUUCAGCGGGGAGGAAGGCGAUACGGUUAAUAACCGUGUCGAUUGACGUUACUCGCAGAAGAAGCACCGGCUAACUCCGUGCCAGCAGCCGCGGUAAUACGGAGGGUGCAAGCGUUAAUCGGAAUUACUGGGCGUAAAGCGCACGCAGGCGGUCUGUCAAGUCGGAUGUGAAAUCCCCGGGCUCAACCUGGGAACUGCAUUCGAAACUGACAGGCUAGAGUCUUGUAGAGGGGGGUAGAAUUCCAGGUGUAGCGGUGAAAUGCGUAGAGAUCUGGAGGAAUACCGGUGGCGAAGGCGGCCCCCUGGACAAAGACUGACGCUCAGGUGC
rnacentral:rRNA from 1 species